UACGGAGGGUGCAAGCGUUAAUCGGAAUUACUGGGCGUAAAGCGCACGUAGGCGGCUUUGUAAGUUAGAGGUGAAGGCCCGGGGCUCAACUCCGGAAUUGCCUUUAAGACUGCAUCGCUAGAAUUGUGGAGAGGUAAGUGGAAUUCCGAGUGUAGAGGUGAAAUUCGUAGAUAUUCGGAAGAACACCAGUGGCGAAGGCGACUUACUGGACACAUAUUGACGCUGAGGUGCGAAAGCGUGGGGAGCAAACAGG
rnacentral:rRNA from 1 species